rnacentral:rRNA from 1 species
UACGGAGGGUGCAAGCGUUGCUCGGAAUUACUGGGCGUAAAGCGCGCGUAGGCGGAUUUGCAAGUCGGGGGUGAAAGCCCGAGGCUCAACCUCGGAACUGCCCUCGAUACUGCAAAUCUCGAGUCCGAGAGAGGUGAGUGGAAUUCCUAGUGUAGAGGUGAAAUUCGUAGAUAUUAGGAAGAACACCAGUGGCGAAGGCGGCUCACUGGCUCGGUACUGACGCUGAGGCGCGAAAGCGUGGGGAGCAAACAGG